GCUCCAGUGGCCUAGUAGUUAAAGCGUCCGCUUCUGAUGCGGAAGGUCGCGGGAUUGAACCCGACCGAGUCA